rnacentral:rRNA from 1 species
GACGAACGCUGGCGGCGUGCUUAACACAUGCAAGUCGAACGGAAAGGCCCUGCUUUUGUGGGGUGCUCGAGUGGCGAACGGGUGAGUAACACGUGAGUAACCUGCCCUUGACUUUGGGAUAACUUCAGGAAACUGGGGCUAAUACCGGAUAGGAGCUCCUGCUGCAUGGUGGGGGUUGGAAAGUUUCGGCGGUUGGGGAUGGACUCGCGGCUUAUCAGCUUGUUGGUGGGGUAGUGGCUUACCAAGGCUUUGACGGGUAGCCGGCCUGAGAGGGUAACCGGCCACAUUGGGACUGAGAUACGGCCCAGCCUCCUACGGGAGGCAGCAGUGGGGAAUAUUGCACAAUGGGCGGAAGCCUGAUGCAGCAACGCCGCGUGCGGGAUGACGGCCUUCGGGUUGUAAACCGCUUUCGCCUGUGACGAAGCGUGAGUGACGGUAAUGGGUAAAGAAGCACCGGCUAACUACGUG